UACGAAGGGGGCUAGCGUUGCUCGGAAUCACUGGGCGUAAAGCGCACGUAGGCGGAUUGUUAAGUCAGGGGUGAAAUCCUGGAGCUCAACUCCAGAACUGCCUUUGAUACUGGCGAUCUCGAGUCCGGGAGAGGCGAGUGGAAUUCCUGGUGUAGCGGUGAAAUGCGCAGAUAUCAGGAGGAACACCGAUUGCGAAGGCAGCUCACUAAGCUGUAACUGACACUGAGGCACGAAAGCGUGGGUAGCGAACAGGA
rnacentral:rRNA from 1 species